rnacentral:rRNA from 1 species
ACAUCCAGCGAACUUGGCAGAGAUGCCUGGUGCCUUCGGGAACGCUGAGACAGGUGCUGCAUGGCUGUCGUCAGCUCGUGUUGUGAAAUGUUGGGUUAAGUCCCGNAACGAGCGCAACCCUUAUCCUUUGUUGCCAGCGAUUCGGUCGGGAACUCAAAGGAGACUGCCGGUGAUAAACCGGAGGAAGGUGGGGAUGACGUCAAGUCAUCAUGGCCCUUACGAGUAGGGCUACACACGUGCUACAAUGGCGCAUACAAAGAGAAGCGACCUCGCGAGAGCAAGCGGACCUCAUAAAGUGCGUCGUAGUCCGGAUCGGAGUCUGCAACUCGACUCCGUGAAGUCGGAAUCGCUAGUAAUCGUGGAUCAGAAUGCCACGGUGAAUACGUUCCCGGGCCUUGUACACACCGCCCGUCACACCAUGGGAGUGGGUUGCAAAAGAAGUAGGUAGCUUAACCUUCGGGAGGGCGCUUACCACUUUGUGAUUCAUGACUGGGGUGAAGUCGUAACAAGGUAGGCGUAGCGAG